rnacentral:rRNA from 1 species
GACGUAGGGGGCAAGCGUUGUUCGGAAUUAUUGGACGUAAAGCGCUCGUAGGCGGGAUCGAAAGUCCGUGUUGAAAGACCUCGGCUCAACUGGAGGGACCGGCUCGGAUAACUUCGGAUUCUUGAGGCAAUCAGAGGGGUGAUGGAAUUCCUGGUGUAGCGGUGAAAUGCGCAGAUAUCAGGAGGAACACCGGUGGCGAAGGCGGGUCUCUGGGCCGUAACUGACGCUGGAGGAGCGAAAGCAUGGGGAGCGAACAGG